UACGGAGGGUGCUAGCGUUGUUCGGAAUUACUGGGCGUAAAGCGCGCGUAGGCGGCUUUGUAAGUUAGAGGUGAAAGCCCGGAGCUCAACUCCGGAAUUGCCUUUAAGACUGCAUCGCUAGAAUCAUGGAGAGGUUAGUGGAAUUCCGAGUGUAGAGGUGAAAUUCGUAGAUAUUCGGAAGAACACCAGUGGCGAAGGCGACUAACUGGACAUGUAUUGACGCUGAGGUGCGAAAGCGUGGGGAGCAAACAGG
rnacentral:rRNA from 1 species